AUUGGCUUGUUGGUCGCAAUGGACAGAAGUUCAUUUUCAACAAACGAAGAAAAGAAAUGUCCCAUCACAUAGAUUGUUCUAGCUACAAUCAUCCACAAAAUUUCUCGUCUCUACUGGCAAUUUUAUUCCAAAAACCAAGAACUAAAAAGUUUAGAUAUUUUGCAGAUAGUAUGUUCAUGAAGGUAUGUCACGUGUAAUCGUUUACCUUGCUGAGCCACAAAGGUCAGUGUUUAACAUGAGGGGGAAUGGAGAGCCAUAUUGGAAGAUUGUAGUUAUAUAUAUAUUGUACGCACGUCCAGGAAAUGUUUCAUCAAAUUGAAGAUGAAACCGUUUGAUCGAUUACCAUGAGGCACGUGGGAACUUUGUUUUUUAUACGAUUCAUUGUACAAUUCAACCGAAAGUGGCAUCUAAAAUUUUUCGCUUGCGAACCUAGGGAACUCAGUUCCACGCUCCGCAACACUUUCUAUAUUGAUU